UUUUUUUUUUUUUUUUUGAUACAGAGUCUUGCUCUGUCGCCCAGGCUGGAAUGCAGUGGCACAAUCUUGGCUCACUGCAACCUCUGCCUCCCAGGUUCAAGUGAUUCUCCUGCCUCAGCCUCCCGAGUAGCUGGGACUCCCAAGGCGCAUACCACCACGCCCAGCUAAUUUUUUGUAUUUUUAGUAGAGAGGGGGUUUCACCAUGUUAGCCAGGGUGGUCUCGAUCUCCUGACCCCGUGAUCUGCCCGUUUCUUUCGUUUCUGGUCGUUGGCACGGUGGACACAAUGCCUGGAGUGACUACAGCCAUACUGUGACUGUGGGGACAGGAGCCCAUAUGCUGAGCUUGGGAGAACUGAAGGAUGGACAGAACCUGGGUCGUUAAUGACAUUACAUUUGUCUCCCUUGGGACUUCUCAUUAUAUAUCACAAUAAAUCCCCUAUUGUUUAAACAUUUUUGAGUUAGGUUUUCUGCCACUUGUGUCAAAAUCAUUCUUGCUGAUAAGUGCCUCAGACUUAAUGGUCUUCUGGCUUCUGGAACGUGCCAUCCUCCUUCCAUGGAGCUGCAGCCCUGUUGUUUCCUCACGUGUUCUUCUUAUCCUCGUUAACCUCCAAGCCCCUGGUUGAAUGUUACUUCUCUGAUCUAGCAGGGUUUCUCCAUGCCACCUAUCACCGUUUAAAAUUAUGGACUUCUUUACUUUUUUAAAAUAUUUUUUUUUGAGACAGAGUCUUGCUCUGUCACCCAGGCUAGAGUGCAGUAGCACAAUCAGCGCUCACUACAGCCUCAUCUCCCAGGCUUAAGUGAUCCUCCCACCUCAGCCUCCCAAGUAGCUGGAACUACAGGUGUGUGCCACCACACUCGGCUAAUUUUUUUUUAUUUUUAGUAGAGACAAGGUCUCACUAUGCGGCCAGGCUGGUCUGGAACUCCUAGCCUCAAGUGAUCCUUCUACUUCAGCCUCCCAAAGUGCUGGGAUUACAGGCAUGAGCCAUGGUGCCCGUUCUCUUUACUAGCUUGAUUAACAUCUGGCUCCCCCACUGGCGUGGCAGCUCUACACAGGUAAGACCUACGGCUGUUUUUGCUCACCAUUGUGUACCCUCCCACUGUGAUGGCCAGAGAACUUAUACAAGUUCACUUAGUCAGGGACCUGAUAGAGGAGAGAGAUAGUGCAUUCCAAAGGAUUAAAGUGAGGCUAAUUUAAUGAAAGGACCAUUCACAGAGUGUAGCAGGCCCCAGGGUUGAUGAAGCACCCAGGGAUGAGCAACAGCUGGAAGCUGUCACACUUCUAGGUUUGAAGGGAUGAGAGAAGAAUGUGGGCUUUUGGAACCUGGAGAGAAAGCUGCUGCUUUCAGAAAGAGACCCCACCUGUGGCAAUACAAAAAGGAUUGCAGACACUGCCAACCCACAGCCAAAGGAAGGCAGCCAGAGAAGCUCACUCUCUUCUCUCCCUCCAACCUCUCCUUGGUUCCUCCAUACAGAUGCUUCUUGACUUACGAUGGGGCUACAUCCGAAUUAACCCACUAUAAGUCAAAAAUAUCAUGUCAUUAAACGCUUUUAUUUUAUUUAUUUAUUUAUUUUUUGAGGCAGAGUCUCAUAUUAUCACCCAGGCUGGAGUGCAAUGGUGUGAUCUUGGCUUAAUGCAACCUCCAUCUCCCAGGUUCAAGCGAUUCUAGUGCCUCAGUCUCCCAAGUAGCUGAGACUACAGGCAUGCGCCUCCACGCCAGGCUAAUCUUUGUAUUUUCAGUAGAGAUGGGGUUUCGCCAUGUUGGCCAGGCUGGUCUUAAACUCCUGGCCUCAAGUGAUCCGUCUGCCUCAGCCUCCCAGAGUGCUGGGAUUACUUACAGGCUUGAGCUACCAUACCAGGCCCAUUAAAUGCUUUAAUACCCCCAAUACACCCAUUAUAAAGUUGAAAACUUAUAAGUUGAACCAUCGUAAGUCAGGGACCCUCUAUAGAAGCCAGAAGGCAUGGAGUCUGGGUAGUGUGAAGGUUGGCCUCCCAGGCACAGGACAGGAUGGAGGAUAGAGAAUGGCUCUGGAGGGGACAGCGAAGACUAUCCAGACCAGUCACCAAAUGACCUCCUAGCUACUCAUUUCAGUGCACCCUUUUCCUUUCUUAACCACCCUGCAGAAUUUGAUAAUUUUAACUCCAACAUUUUCAGGAUCAGAAAGUGUACCAUGAGGGUCUUUUCCAUGCCUUGCCCUCCUCCCUUGAGACAUCUCCAAUCAGACCCACUUGUUUCCUUUCAGCCGGGCUCAGAGGAUAGAUCCCAGCUCACUUACAAGUCUUUCUUCUUUUCAUCCUCUCCCUUUCUGGGGGUGCCCUCUCUCAAGACCAGGAAAUUCUAGGGUUUCUCCUGUUUUCAGAAACCCUCCCUUGAUUGCCCACAUUUUUCUUGCUACCAUUCAACUCCUUCCCUAGUCAUCCAACCUUCUCUAAGGAAGGUUCUGCCACUCCUCCACCUAUUCAGUCCACUGACCCUGGGGAAGCUAGCUUUUGCCCCUUUGCCCCCAAAACAGUUCCUGCCAAGGUUCAUAGGAGCCCCCUGAUUGCUGGAUUCAAAAGACUUUGUGCUUCUUAUUUUUCUGAGAUUCGGGGCAUCGAGCUGUGGCGAUUACUUUCUCCCUGAAACUCUUCCUUACUUUGGUUGCUAUGGCAACCUCCUCUCCUAGUUAUUUGUCUCAUUGCUCAGGUCCUUCCUUUUCCUCUCUCCUUUGUAACCCACCCACACCUCCGUCAGCCCCUCACAUGUCUCCGGGACUUACGAUUCUGCUAUGAGCCCUCUCCCAUCUUCCCUCUACACUCUCCACCUCCCAUCUUCCCUCUACACUCUCUGCCUGGCGGUCUUGCUCCUUCCUGGAGUCCUAUUAACCUCUGUCCCCAGGUUGGUCCCUCCAAUCAGAUUUCUUCCUGAGUCCCAGCUCUGGCAUCCAGCUGUCUGCCAACCUCCUCCUGGCUGUACCCCAGGACCCUCAGCUCUACUUCUCUGAGACUGAGCCCAUUUUCCCUCCUCAAACUGGCUACCAUGCUGUGUUCCCCUUCUCAAGCACCUCACCAUCUGCCAAAGAUCCCAACCAAGACACACGGGAAUCACCCUUGGUUCUACCCUCUCUCACACCAGCAGCCAACAAUCCUUAUGCAUUUCUGAAUUUAUUUUCUAAAUUGGCUCCCUGCCUAGAGACCAUCUCCUUCCAAAUAUAGUCUUCACACUGACCAUCUCAGUGGUCUUCCCAAAUAACAAAUCCAAACAUCACUCUAGUGUAAAAACUUUCAACAGUGCCCAAUGACUGCAGGACAGUGUCCGAAUUCCUUGACAUGGGGGCAUCCAAAGCCCUGCAGGGUCUGGUCUCUGUCCACUUCAUUUUACUCUUCCCAUCCUCUCCUUCUUUUGUUAUAGUCCAGGAACACCAAAUACCCUCCAGCUCACUCU
ensembl:lncRNA